rnacentral:misc_RNA from 1 species
CGAGCGUCAUUACACCUCUCAAGCUCAGCUUGGUAUUGGGUGCCGUCCUCAGGGGCGCAUCUGGAAAGUAGCGGCGGUGCGGCCGGUGAUCAAGCGUAGUAACUACUCCCGCUUUGAGACACCCGGGCGUGCCAGCCGGAUAACACCCAAAUUUUUCAAUGGUUGACCUCGGAUCAGGUAGGGAUACCCGCUGAACUUAA